AAUUCAUGUUGAGGGCAACGUCGAAUCAAAUCUUUAUAUCUUUCCCAUGCUUCAUAGAGUGACUUGAAAUCAUUUUGCUUGAAUUGAACAAUCUCACUCCUAAGUU